GUGUUACGUGAAAGGAGAGAAGGUUAGCACUCCCCUAACGAGGAUGGAAGAGGCCCUCAGGCCUGCACAACACACACACGGUCAAGACUCAAAUGUGGCCUCUCUCU
rnacentral:ncRNA from 1 species